AAGAACCACGGGCCGCGCCUGCGGCUGCUGCUGCGCACCUGGAUCUCCCGGGCCCGCCAGCAGACGUUUAUCUUCACCGACGGGGACGACCCUGAGCUCGAGCUCCAGGGCGGCGACCGUGUCAUCAACACCAACUGCUCGGCGGUGCGCACUCGUCAGGCCCUCUGCUGCAAGAUGUCCGUGGAGUAUGACAAGUUCAUUGAGUCCGGGCGCAAGUGGUUUUGCCACGUGGAUGAUGACAAUUAUGUGAACGCCAGGAGCCUCCUGCACCUGCUCUCCAGCUUCUCACCCAGCCAGGACGUCUACCUGGGGCGGCCCAGCCUGGACCACCCCAUUGAGGCCACCGAGAGGGUCCAGGGUGGCAGAACUGUGAGUGUCGGAGCAGACGCCAUCGGAGCAGACGCCUUCCUUGACACCAGCCCGGGAGGCACAGCAGAGGGCGUGGAAAGCUGGCUUGAGAAGGGCAUAGGGUUGGGGGCCCAAGCUGAUCCACCCAGGUGGUUUGCAUGUGGUGUUUCAGGAGCAGGCCAGGAGGCCCUCACCGUACUGGGCAGAGAGGGGGUGUCUGGGCCAGGUGGGGAGGGUCUGGAGGCUACGGGUCAAUGGCCUGCAGAAGCCCCCGGCUCUUUUUGCUCCAAGAAGCUUCUGUUACCUGGGUGGGAUCUCCUAAGGGGCAGCUUAAGAAAGAUGCCUGGGGAGUCCCAUGAAGAGUCAGGGGUGAGAAGCCCUGUCCUGGGCAGCUCUGACCACCACCCCAUCUUCAGGUGACCACGGUCAAGUUCUGGUUUGCUACUGGUGGGGCCGGGUUCUGCCUCAGCAGAGGCCUUGCCCUCAAGAUGAGCCCAUGGGCCAGGUGAGUGGGGGUCCAGCUGCCCGGGCUGGGAGGCGGAGGCUGAGACCUGAAAGGUGCUGACCGGCCUCCCCCCAGCCUGGGCAGCUUCAUGAGCACAGCUGAGCAGGUGCGGCUGCCGGAUGACUGCACAGUUGGCUACAUCGUGGAGGGGCUCCUGGGCGCCCGCCUGCUGCACAGCCCCCUCUUCCACUCUCACCUGGAGAACCUGCAGAGGCUGCCGCCCGACACCCUGCUCCAGCAGGUUACCUUGAGCCAUGGGGGUCCUGAGAACCCACAUAACGUGGUGAACGUGGCUGGAGGCUUCAGCCUGCAUCAAGACCCCACACGGUUUAAGUCUAUCCAUUGUCUUCUGUACCCAGACACGGACUGGUGUCCCAGGCAGAAACAGGGCGCCCCGACCUCUCGGUGACACCAACCACCCCGACCCAGGGCUGCCUGGCUCUGUCCCAGGCGCGGGGAACCAGAGCCCCCUAUGGGCUCAGUGGGCUCCCUCAGGUGCCACGGCCACACCAGUGAGAUGCAGGCACCUGGCAGACCCUCUGGCUAGCCUGCAGCCCCCCCUCUCCCAGCCCCUGGUGGGCUGCGGUGAUGGGUGUUUUGGGAGAACGAAGACAGCCAGGCUGAUGGCCAGGGCCGCAGUGCCCCUCCCCCCGACCCAGCCCCAAGGUUGAUCCCACGGGAACAGGCUUCCACCCCAGCACUUGCGCACCUGGGAGGGAGCUGCCAUCCGGGCUCCAUUACCUGUUGCUGAAGGCGGGUGCUAGGCUGGCUGGGUGUCAAGGAGCAGGCUCCAGGCCAAGGUCCUGGCCCAGCCACGGCCAUUGCAAGGGCUCAGCCUGGCAGGCUUUGUGGGGGACGCCGCCCUCUCUGCCGCAGGCUGGGUGCACGGCCGGGCACCACAGUGGGACUCAGGCCCGGGAAGGUCAUGUUCUCGACCAGAGCUUUGCUCCCAGUCCAGGCGCCUCAUUCGGAGGCCUCUUGACUGGGACCACAGAGAUGUUUUCUCCGCUCUGACUUGUGGCUCAGGACUACUUUCUGGGUCGUGCUCCUGCCCCACUGUGCCUGGGCCCAUAAACAACAGGAGCCUUUUGUUCCGCUGACCUGCCCAUCCCAGCAGACCCACCUCCCCGCCUGGUGCCUUCCAUGGAGGGAAAUGGGACAGGGGCCGUCAUCUCCCCUCUGCCUCCUGCUUUGCUGUUGCCGAGCACGAGUAAAGCUUUUGUUCUUAC
rnacentral:lncRNA from 1 species